rnacentral:rRNA from 1 species
UACGAAGGGGGCUAGCGUUGCUCGGAAUCACUGGGCGUAAAGGGUGCGUAGGCGGGUCUUUAAGUCAGGGGUGAAAUCCUGGAGCUCAACUCCAGAACUGCCUUUGAUACUGAAGAUCUUGAGUUCGGGAGAGGUGAGUGGAACUGCGAGUGUAGAGGUGAAAUUCGUAGAUAUUCGCAAGAACACCAGUGGCGAAGGCGGCUCACUGGCCCGAUACUGACGCUCAGGGGCGAAAGCGUGGGGAGCAAACAGG